GCGGGUAUAGUUUAGUGGUAAAACUAGCCUUCCAAG
rnacentral:tRNA from 2 species